rnacentral:rRNA from 1 species
CUUCCGUAGGUGAACCUGCGGAAGGAUCAUUACUGUGAUUUACUACUACACUGCGUGAGCGGAACGAAAACAACAACACCUAAAAUGUGGAAUAUAGCAUAUAGUCGACAAGAGAAAUCUACGAAAAAACAAACAAAACUUUCAACAACGGAUCUCUUGGUUCUCGCAUCGAUGAAGAGCGCAGCGAAAUGCGAUACCUAGUGUGAAUUGCAGCCAUCGUGAAUCAUCGAGUUCUUGAACGCACAUUGCGCCCCUCGGCAUUCCGGGGGGCAUGCCUGUUUGAGCGUCGUUUCCAUCUUGCGCGUGCGCAGAGUUGGGGGAGCGGAGCGGACGACGUGUAAAGAGCGUCGGAGCUGCGACUCGCCUGAAAGGGAGCGAAGCUGGCCGAGCGAACUAGACUUUUUUUCAGGGACGCUUGGCGGCCGAGAGCGAGUGUUGCGAGACAACAAAAAGCUCGACCUCAAAUCAGGUAGGAAUACCCGCUGAACUUAAGCAUAUCAAUAA